AAUUCCCAUUGAUCAUUCCAAUGGUUACUUUCAACGGAAAUUUUAUACACGUGCAAAAUGUCUGCCUCUACUUUCUGGUGGUUGAAUACAAUGAAGUUCAAAACAUUAAAAUGUAAAAAUGUACAACAUCCAGAAGGAUAAUAGAAAGAGAAACAAAUCCCAAACCACCUUGUAGACAUUUACACAUUUACUUGUGUUUCUUUUUCUUUUCUUUUCUUUUUCUUUUCUGGGGCAAAGUCUCACUCUGUAGUCCAGGCUAGAGUGCAGUGGCGCGAUCUCGGCUCACUACAACCUCUGCCUCCCAGGUUCAAGCGAUUCUCUUGCCUCAGCCUCCCAGGUAGCUAGCUGGGAUGACGGAAGCAUGCCACCAUGCCUGGCUAAUUUUUGUAUUUUUUAGUAUAGACAGGGUUUCACCAUGUUGGCCAGGCUGGUCUCGAACUCAUGAACUCAAAUGAUCUGCCCACCUCGGCCUCCCAAAGUGUUGGGAUUACAGGCAUGAACCACUGCACUGGCCUGUGUUUCUUUAAAGCUUUGCGAACAAAGUGACAUCUCUCCAAAACAAACCAACAGAAGUGUAUUUUUUUCAAAUCAUAUGCUUGUACAAGUGGGAGAGGAUCAGUUUAUUAAAGAACUCUGCAGUUAAUAUUGCUGAAUUAU
rnacentral:lncRNA from 1 species